rfam:Schistosoma mansoni, Puerto Rico, WGS project CABG01000000 data, contig: 0210
AUCUAGCUGACGAGUCACAAAUAGAACAAGAUGCGCGUCCUGGAU